rnacentral:rRNA from 1 species
UACGGAGGGUGCAAGCGUUAUCCGGAUUCACUGGGUUUAAAGGGUGCGUAGGCGGGCAGGUAAGGCAGGGGUGAAAUCUCCAAGCUUAACUUGGAAACUGCCGUUGAUACUAUCUGUCUUGAAUACCGUGGAGGUGAGCGGAAUAUGUCAUGUAGCGGUGAAAUGCUUAGAUAUGACAUAGAACACCAAUUGCGAAGGCAGCUCGCUACACGAAUAUUGACUCUGAGGCACGAAAGCGUGGGGAUCAAACAGG